rnacentral:sRNA from 1 species
GCCAGGUGUGAUGGUACACGCCUGUAAUCCCAACGGCUCGGGAGGCAGAGGCUGGAGGAUCAAAGCCAAGCCUCAGCAAAAGUGAGGCACUAAGUGACUCAGUGAGACCCUGUCUCUA